rnacentral:rRNA from 1 species
GUCUGAGAGGAUGAUCAGCCACACUGGAACUGAGACACGGUCCAGACUCCUACGGGAGGCAGCAGUGGGGAAUAUUGCACAAUGGGCGCAAGCCUGAUGCAGCCAUGCCGCGUGUAUGAAGAAGGCCUUCGGGUUGUAAAGUACUUUCAGCAGUGAGGAAGGUGGUGUCGUUAAUAGCGGCAUCAUUUGACGUUAGCUGCAGAAGAAGCACCGGCUAACUCCGUGCCAGCAGCCGCGGUAAUACGGAGGGUGCGAGCGUUAAUCGGAAUUACUGGGCGUAAAGCGCAUGCAGGUGGUUUGUUAAGUCAGAUGUGAAAGCCCGGGGCUCAACCUCGGAAUUGCAUUUGAAACUGGCAGACUAGAGUACUGUAGAGGGGGGUAGAAUUUCAGGUGUAGCGGUGAAAUGCGUAGAGAUCUGAAGGAAUACCGGUGGCGAAGGCGGCCCCCUGGACAGAUACUGACACUCAGAUGCGAAAGCGU